rnacentral:rRNA from 1 species
ACGGGAGGCAGCAGUGGGGAAUAUUGCACAAUGGGCGAAAGCCUGAUGCAGCGACGCCGCGUGAACGAUGAAGUAUUUCGGUAUGUAAAGUUCUAUCAGCAGGGAAGAUAAUGACGGUACCUGACUAAGAAGCUCCGGCUAAAUACGUGCCAGCAGCCGCGGUAAUACGUAGGGAGCAAGCGUUAUCCGGAAUUACUGGGUGUAAAGGGAGUGUAGGCGGGACUGUAAGUCAGAUGUGAAAUAUACCGGCUCAACUGGUAGACUGCAUUUGAAACUGCGGUUCUUGAGUGAAGUAGAGGUAAGCGGAAUUCCUAGUGUAGCGGUGAAAUGCGUAGAUAUUAGGAGGAACGUCAGUGGCGAAGGCGGCUUACUGGGCUUUAACUGACGCUGAGGCUCGAAAGCGUGGGGAGCAAACAGGAUUAGAUACCCUGGUA